AAAGUAGACUGGACGGUCGCCUCAUAGUGCUCAGGCAGUGUGGGGAGGAAAGUCCGAACUCCACAGAACAGGACGGUCGCUAACGGCGACUUCGAGUGAUCGGAGGAAAGUGCCACAGAAAACAGACUGUCUCGAAUUUUCGGGAUGAUGGUGAAAAGGUGGGGUAAGAGCCCACCGCCCCAGUGGUGACAUUUGGGGGCACGGUAAACCCCGUCCGGAGCAAGACCAAAUAGAUUCCGUGUUUUGGGGUUGUCAAAAAUUCAUGCAUAUGUUGUAUAUUCCAGUCAAUCGUACAAUCGUUAUAAUACACGAUUUUGCACACGUUUUCAUGCUGAUGUAUGCCAUUUUUUGACAACCUCAAAAGAAGGGUUGUUCGCCCAACUUGCCUUUGCAUAACGGAAUGGGUAGGUUGCAUGAUCCUGUCAGCAAUGGCAGGGCUAGAUAAAUGACCGUCAUUCCGGUUGUUAAAACGGAAACACAGAAUUCGGCUUACAGGUCUGCUUUGGGU
rnacentral:RNase_P_RNA from 1 species